UACCGCGGUUAUACGAAAGACCCUAGUUUAUAGACACGGCGUAAAGGGUGGUUAGGGGUUAAACAGAAUAAAGCCAAAGAUUUCUUAAGCCGUCAUACGCUCAUAGGAACACGAAGCCCGAACACGAAAGUAGCUUUACUAAACAUACCCGACUCCACGAAAGCUGGAAAA
rnacentral:rRNA from 1 species